UGAAGUAGAAGGCAGGCAAAGUGGUUAGGAAUCCCCGAGAAUCCAUUUCGAAAUAUUGGCAACCGACUUGGCUUCGAACCUGGAUACGAUUAUGGAAGUGCUGGAACAAGUCAACUAUUCCGACAGUGAUUUAAGGGAUAUUUGGGACACAGAAUCAUUUAGUUCGGUGCAUAAUAUUCCUUAUGAUGAAACUAUCCUGAAACAUCUCGCAGAGGACAUGAGUUUGGACACGGAAGCUGACUGGGCCCAAAUUUUAGAUAAUCAACCAAUUGUUUUAAAUGACCGAAUGAUGACUGAUGCCGUCCAGUCUCCUCAUAUCCAAUCAGAGCACAGUUAUUCUCUCACUCUAAAUGACGAAAUGCCACAGUCACCUUUUGGACAUAAUAUUAAACUGGAAGAUUACAGCAAAGAUAUGGAAGCAGAAUGCUUUCCCACGGUAUCCAGCGGGCCGUCCGAGUUUUCUGAAGACGUUUUGAUCAAGCAAGAACCCGUUUCUCCUCCUCCUGCUACAUCUCCUCGGAUUUCGGCAAUCUCUUCUCUACUGAACGCCCCCUCUCCGCCCUUGCACCCACAUUCCUUAUUGAAGCAGCCCACCAUCGUCCUUGCUGCUCGGAAAUCUUCUCGAGACCAUCCCAUUCUUUACCCCAAAGUUAGCAUCAAAGUGGAGCCUUCGUUAUCGACCAGUGGAUUUCCGCUUCCACCGACUCCUCCAUCUUGCAAUGGCAGCGAUUCGGAGGGCAGUUUGUCUCCGGUCCACGGGGGAUCCUCGACAUCUUCUCAUCAACCGUCUUCACCUCAAGGUCUUCUUUGCGGCUCACCGUCGUCUAAUUCAUCGUCAUCGACCCAUUCCUCAGGCCAUGCUAUGGGUCGCAAAUCCCAUGCCAAGAUAGUACUGCCGGUUUCAUCGUCCAAACAUUCGAAUAGCCAAACAGCUCUCAUAAGCAGUCAACCGAAAGGGGCAACUGGAGUUUUGCAACUCACCGAUGAAGAAAAGCGAACUUUAUUAGCCGAAGGCUAUCACAUUCCACAAAAAUUACCCCUCACAAAGGCCGAAGAGCGUUCACUGAAGAAAAUUAGAAGAAAAAUAAAAAAUAAGAUAUCUGCUCAGGAAAGUAGACGGAAGAAAAAAGAAUACAUGGAUGCUUUAGAAAAAAAAGUUGAGAUACUGUCUAGUGAAAACAGUGAAUAUAAGAAGAAAUUAGACUCAUUAGAAGGAAAUAACAAGUCUCUAUUGUCUCAGCUCCAAAAUCUCCAAGCCAUUCUGAAUGAGAUGCCCAGCAAACGGUGUCGUAAUGCUGCCACGCAGACCAUUCCUAGUUCAAAUUCUGUGAGGCACAAUGGUUCUAGUAGAUCAGAAAUGUCUACUGAAUUAUUUGAAAGCACAGAUGCCAAAGGAAGAUAGCGACUUGAUCUUGAGAGAGAGAGAGUUCUUACGCAUUCCAGUAAGUUUUCUUCUCCUCUUAAAAUGAGACUUGGAGUGUUCUGAAGCAACUUUUGCCUUUGUUGUGUCAAAAGAAUUGAAAUGUUUUGUGCUUUUCUUUUAUAUGAUCCAUUGCAUCCAGAGACUAAGCUUUGACUCCAUAUUUUGAGGGAAAUGCAUUUUGUCCCAUGGUUUCAUAAUGUGUUUAAAUGGACCAGCUUCAGAAUUUGAACUCUUUUGCUAUUGAUUCUAACUUGCAGCCAAAAUCGUCAAUGAUGUUUUCCUUUGUUAUGUUCUCAUGUUCCAGAUUGUAUGAUGCUGUUGUAUUGUUUGUCAUAAUUAUAUUUGUUUAAAUUCUUUAUAGGUUUAUAGAGGCAGUUUAGUACUAAACGUGUACUUUUGGGUUAUAUAAAACUAAAUCGAGUCAUGAUAAUGACAGUAAAAAUCUAUGUGCAUUCAUAUCAUCUUACUAUGUUGGUUUAAAGUUAUGUUUACUAUACUUUUUGAAAAAGAUAGUUUUAAGAUUUUGAAUCUUCUUUUCUUUCGCUAACAAAAUCAUAAGAGAUAAUUAUCAUUCGUUUCAUGUGUGUAAUCUAUUGGUUCUAUCAUAUUUAUAAGGAUAAUAAUAAGCAUAUUAUUCUUCUGUACUUUGUAAUAUUCAUAGGGGAAUAAUCUUGUUCUCAUAGAUUACUGCUAUAACUAUAAUAUAUAUAUAUAUAUAUAUGCCCAUGAUUAAAUAUUUAUCUAUCGUACUUUUUAAACUAUUUUGAACUUUAAAAUAUAUAUAAUUAUAUUCAACUAUAUAUUUUGAUCUUGAUUGCUUUUGCUGAACCAUUCUUUAAAAUUAUUUUAUUUUCCGAGGGAGUAAAAUAUCACCUACUUCGUGGGGAUUGAAUUCUUUUUAGUAUAAAUACUUUUUUUCCCCACUGCUGCGAAACACAUUUAUAGAGCUAUCGCAACUUAUACAAACUUACUUAUUUUAUUUAAAAAUUCUUUUCUUUCUAUAUUUUUGUGAGUUAAAUGGACAUAUAUAUAAUCUUGGGCGCGUAAAAUUGAAAUAUUACUUCCUAAUCUUUGUAAAAUCCCUUUGAUUCUGAUUUCGUUUUAUUCCAGAAUUUUGUCUUUAAUUAAUUCGGAAAUUUUAAUUAAUUAAAUUUAAUUAAUGAAGAAAUUUAAAUGUAAUUAAAAAAUUUACAGGUAUUAAAUAUGUUUAUAUUAACAUUUUUGAUAGAAUAUAAAUUGAAAAGUAUGAAUUUCUAUGUGAACACACAUCUUAGAAAUGGAUGACGAACUUUCAUUAUGAAGGAUUUUGUGUAAUCAAUGAAUAUUUAUUGAAACAUUUGUGUAAUUUUAGCACUAAUGAAUUGACUUUGGAUGGUAUAUAAGGAAUUUCUGUAAAAUGGAACAUAUCGGAUACUGCUGUAGUAUUGUUUUUAUAAUUGAUGAUUCUCUUUUUUUCAUUUGAAAAUGAUUAUCCUGAGAAUUAUCACUUAACGCAGGAGAUUUUAAAUCGAGUACGAAAUAUAUCAACAGUCAUAAAAUCAUUGCUAGAUAAUUGUUGCAGAAUCCGAAGUAAAAAUUGUGCUGUAGCGUAAAAUUUACUGUCGGAGGUUAAACUCUUUUAACGAUAUUCAAGUAAACAACUAAUGAGUGCCAAAUUCAUUCUGUUUCUUAUUUUUUCCAAAUAUAUUAUUUUAAUCCUCUAUUUUAAAGAGGUAGAAACGAAAUUUCGCAAUUGCAGUUGUGAUUCCUUGAAUUAAUCGUUAUUUUUCUAACGAAAUAUUGAGCAAAAUUAAAUUAGCAAAAAUUGUUCGCCUUUCAGAUUAGAUUACAAAAGAGGAUUUCGUAUAAAAACUUCUUUAAUGAUUGAAUUUCUUUGUUUUGACAAUCAAAUAAGAUAAUUUCUGAAAGUGUAUCCAUUUUUGGAUGAAAUUACACGGAUAUUUUUAGUCUGAAAUGUUUAAAAAUAUUUUUGACAAUUUAAGGAAUUUGUUUUUCAUCUAUAGAACUUUUAGUACAGAAAAUUUGGAUGGGAAAAAAAUAAAAUUACUAAAUAUUAGGAUGUCAAAUACAUAAUACUCCCCUUUGCAUUUUUAGCAUUUGUGGCACACACCUUGUGGGUUCAGUCAUUUAUUAACUUGCCUUUUUUUCCACAAUGGUAUGAAAACUCUAUUUUUGAUUUUCAAUCUAUCUUUUUAUGCAUUGUACAUAUCAUUAAAAAAAUACAUUUUUCUUGAUAAGACCAAUUUCAGUUUGUUUGAAGAAAAGUACUUAUGUUUGUGAAAAUGGCCGUGCUUAAUAUGGCCUAUAUUUACUGAGCAACUAGUCUAUAUGCACUAAUUUUUAUAUAUGUUAGCUUAAUGGUAAAGGUUGAUGUUUUUUUCCUGGGUCGAUAAUACUAGGUCGUAAUUUAUGUGCAAUGUUUUCAUUAUAAUGUAGCUUUUAAUUAUGAGAGAAAACUGGACAGAUAUAUACUUUGAUGAAGAGAAUAGUUGACUCUGGAUUUAAAAGAAGUGUUGACCAAUGAUCAAGUAAAUUCUAUAAAUUCGUUUCAGUUUACAAAAAUCAUUGGAAUGGAAAUGUGUAAUGGUUCACGAUAAACGUGGAAUAUAUUUAUUUUUAAAUAGAUGCUUCGUCUUGAUAACUUUUAAUGCAUAUAUAUUUCUUAAAAGUAUAUCUACUGUGAUCAACACUUCAGAAAAAUCCUGAGGAAAAUUCUAUUUUUGACAGGCUUCAUCAAAAGGUUUAUUUUUUGGGCAAUAUAUUUAAAUGUUGAUAAAAUUGUCGCCAUGUCCUUUUAUGUGACUUAACAUUAUAUAUAAAAAUAUAGAAUAAAUAAAUAUAUAUAUAUAUAUAUAUACAUAUACAUACUAUAUAUUAUAGAAAGACAAAUACCUAUGUUUUAAAUUCAUUUGAAUCAUUGGUCAUAAAUGAAAUAUCCUAUUCAUUUCAUAUGGAACAUAUAUAUAUCUGCAUUGUCACAUUCCAAGUUCCUGUUAUUCAACACAUUAUGAAAUUAGUAUUUUAUUAAAAACUGUUGUAACUCAUUUUACAUUGUUUUCAUAACUGUGUUUUUGAGACAGAAUUAUACUUUUUAUUUACUUUUUAAGCAUAUUUAGUGCAAUUAUAUAUAACAAAAAGUUUAUUUGAAUAGAAAUUACGGAUUUGUUUAAGAUGUACAAAAUUACAUUUAUUUAUUAGAAUUCAUUAAAUAGUGAUCGUCCUGAAUAUUUAGAGAUGUAGAUAUUUAUUUAUUGGUUGUAAAUUCAGAUUAUUUUUUAUUUCAUGAGUUUCACUAAUUUAUUAAAAGUUUCCAUAUGAGAAGUUGAUUCGUGAGAUGAAAAUGUUUUGAAUCUCAGUGAGUCUAUAAAAAAAAUCAAAAUAUUUAAAAAAUCUAUUUUAUAAGAGUUUCUUUUACAGAUUGAUAUUAUAUGAAAUUAAAAAGCAUGAUUUCUUUUUAAAAUAUUGCUGUGACAUUUUGUCUUUGGUAUGCUUCUGUACAAAUGUUUUGUAUAAUAAAAUAUGAAUUGUAGCUGUUGAUGCUGAUAUAUCAUCUGAAUAAAAAUAAAUGCUUUAAAUGUGG